rnacentral:rRNA from 1 species
UACGUAGGGUGCGAGCGUUGUCCGGAAUUAUUGGGCGUAAAGAGCUCGUAGGCGGUGUGUCACGUCGUUCGUGAAAACCUGCAGCUUAACUGUGGGCGUGCGGGCGAUACGGGCAGACUGGAGUACUGCAGGGGAGACUGGAAUUCCUGGUGUAGCGGUGGAAUGCGCAGAUAUCAGGAGGAACACCGGUGGCGAAGGCGGGUCUCUGGGCAGUAACUGACGCUGAGGCACGAAAGUGUGGGGGAUCAAACAGG